rnacentral:rRNA from 1 species
GACGAACGCUGGCGGCGUGCCUAACACAUGCAAGUCAACUUGACUGAAGGAGCAAUCUGACAGUAGAGUGGCGCAAGGGUGCGUAACGCGUAAGUAACUUGCCCAAGGUAAGGAAUAACGUCGAGAAAUCGGCGCUAAUACCUCAUAAUGCAGCGGAUCCGCAUGGAUAUGUUGUUAAAGGUUUACCGCCUUGGGAUAGGCUUGCGUCUGAUUAGCUAGUUGGUGUGGUAACGGCACACCAAGGCUACGAUCAGUAACUGGUCUGAGAGGAUGAUCAGUCACACUGGAACUGAGACACGGUCCAGACUCCUACGGGAGGCAGCAGUGAGGAAUAUUGGGCAAUGCUCGAAAGAGUGACCCAGCAACGCCGCGUGGAGGAUGAAGGUAUUCUAUAUCGUAAACUCCUGUGAGAGCAGACGAAAGACAGAUUAUUAAUCUGGAUGACUGUAUGCUCAGAGGAAGCCCCGG